rnacentral:tRNA from 1 species
UAUACCUUAGUGUAAUAGCACUGAAAGUUUUGAAUUUUUAAGUCACAAACUUGUUUGUGAGGUAUAA